GACGAACGCUGGCGGCGUGCUUAACACAUGCAAGUCGAACGGAAAGGCCCUGCUUUUGUGGGGUGCUCGAGUGGCGAACGGGUGAGUAACACGUGAGUAACCUGCCCUUGACUUUGGGAUAACUUCAGGAAACUGGGGCUAAUACCGGAUAGGAGCUCCUGCUGCAUGGUGGGGGUUGGAAAGUUUCGGCGGUUGGGGAUGGACUCGCGGCUUAUCAGCUUGUUGGUGGGGGAGUGGCUUACCAAGGCUUUGACGGGUAGCCGGCCUGAGAGGGUGACCGGCCACAUUGGGACUGAGAUACGGCCCAGACUCCUACGGGAGGCAGCAGUGGGGAAUCUUGCACAAUGGGCGGAAGCCUGAUGCAGCAACGCCGCGUGCGUGAUGACGGCCUUCGGGUUGUAAACCGCUUUCGCCUGUGACGAAGCGUGAGUGACGGUAAUGGGUAAAGAAGCACCGGCUAACUACGUG
rnacentral:rRNA from 1 species